CCCUUAGAUGUUCCGGGCCGCACGCGUGCUACACUGAGUGGAUCAGCGGGUCAGGUUGCGCGAAAGCGUUUCCUAAUCUUUAAAUCCGCUCGUGAUGGAGAUUGACGGUUGCAAUUUUCUGUCAUGAACGAGGAAUACCUUGUAAGCGCGGGUCAUCAUCCCGCGCUGAAUACGUCCCUGCCCUUUGUACACACCGCCCGUCGCUCCUACCGAUUGAGUGGUCCGGUGAGGCUUUGGGAUCUGAGCGGAAAGAGCGUUUCGCUGUUUCUGCUCGGAAAACUCAGUCGAACCUUAUCAUUUAGAGGAAGGAGAAGUCGUAACA
rnacentral:rRNA from 1 species